UACGUAGGGUGCAAGCGUUGUCCGGAAUUAUUGGGCGUAAAGAGCUCGUAGGCGGGCUGUCACGUCGGCUGUGAAAACCCGGGGCUCAACCCCGGGCCUGCAGUCGAUACUGGCAGACUAGAGUGCGGUAGGGGAGACUGGAAUUCCUGGUGUAGCGGUGAAAUGCGCAGAUAUCAGGAGGAACACCGAUGGCGAAGGCAGAUCUCUGGGCCGUAACUGACGCUGAGGAGCGAAAGCGUGGGGAGCAAACAGG
rnacentral:rRNA from 1 species